rnacentral:rRNA from 1 species
GACGAACGCUGGCGGCGCGCUUAACACAUGCAAGUCGAACGGAAAGGCCUGCUUUCCCUUGUGGAUUGCGGGUACUCGAGUGGCGAACGGGUGAGUAACACGUGAGUGAUCUGCCCCCAACUUGGGUAUAAGCCUGGGAAACUGGGUCUAAUUCCCGAUAGUACUGCAGGGUGGUGCCUGUGGUGGAAAACGAUUUUCUAGUGGUUGGGGAUGAGCUCGCGGCCUAUCAGCUUGUUGGUGGGGUAAUGGCCUACCAAGGCGGCGACGGGUAGCCGGCCUGAGAGGGUGGACGGCCACAUUGGGACUGAGAUACGGCCCAGACUCCUACGGGAGGCAGCAGUGGGGAAUAUUGCACAAUGGGCGGAAGCCUGAGGCAGCGACGCCGCGUGGGGGAUGACGGCCUUCGGGUUGUAAACUCCUUUCGACCGCGAGGAAGCCACCUGGUUGGAAGGGUGGUGACGGUAGUGGUAGAAGAAGCACCGGCUAACUACGUG